AACAUUGUAUUCCGACGCAAUUGUUUGUUGUUAAUUACAAAUGUUUACGUACACUUGCUUUGUUUCUUUAUUACAUGUGUAACCCAAUACAUACAUAUUACAUGUACAAGGGAAUAAGGAUCAGUAGGACAUUUUAGCACUAUUGAUACACAACAACACAAGAUCGUUAUCAAUAUUUCACUGCAGUAAUGGAAAACAGCGUUGAUUUCUACAAAAACUUGUAUAACAACGCCCUCGCGGGAAUGACGCAUGUCUCUUGUGCAUUUUAGAUAAAGCAGGAGCCACCACGCCUAAACCUACUGCCCAGGCCUCGCCCGUCGCCCCGCCAAUUGGGAAGAUGCCCGCUUCGACAGGCAUACUUAAACCACAACCAGCGGAUUUACGAGUAUAUUCGUGGGAUCCUUGUGCAAGCUACGAGGGGUCAUACUUUCCUCACCCGACUGAGUGCGACCAAUAUUUCCAGUGCUCCAACGGUGCCUCCAUUCUACAGAAAUGCACAACAGGGCUGCUUUACCAUUGGAGGGAACUAACGUGCGUCAGCAGGUUCAUGCCAGGCGUGCUAUGCCCGGAAGCUAAAAGAGCCCCGCAAAAACCCACGCCUACAACACCUUCUACAACGACUUCAACAACACCGUCCACUACGACGUCAACAACAACGUCUCAAAGACCAACAAAAAAACACAAUUAUGACCGCUUCUACAAAGACGACCAAUACAAUCGUUGUUACCGUUAGCUUCUUUACUGGGCCGAGUACGAUGGAUCCAUUACUGGCAGAUUCUCCUGAGCACAAUACUGAAACCGCACCUGGACCGGAUGCGAAUGCUCUUAUUUUGACAGCCAUUGCUGCUCUGUAACAAUAUAGACCAAAGUAUUCCUAGACGCCAUGUGUGAGCGGAUAUGAUUUGCAACUAUACCCAUUUUCGGAUGAUUGUGCCAAGUUCAUCCAAUGCGUCAACGAAAAAGCACAAGUCAUUAAUUGCUCACAUGGACUUUUGUUUGACUCCGCAAGUAACGCGUGUAUCCUUCCGCCCAACACAGAAUUACUGUGUCCAGAUAUUCGACCGUGUGCGACGAUAGGGCAAGGUUACUUUAUUCAUCCUUUUGACUGUACGAAGUUCAUACAGUGUGAUCGCAAUAAUGAGAUCGUUCGAUCGUGCCCUCCAGGAUUUUAUUGGAACGAAGAAAUUAACGCUAUUGUAUAUUACAUGAGAUGUUUGUAAGCAUAGAUAUAUGUUUUAAAUCAAUGGUGUUAUGCAUACAGUGAUAACAAAAUAAUAUAUUGUGUGUGGGGGAAACAGAAAAGUCACUUGUAUGUGAUUAAACGUUGAACAGGUUCAAAUAUGAGCAUAAUAUAUAUCGUUUAUUACAUAGUUUGUGUGUUGUCGUUAGCUGUUAGCCUGACACCUGAUUCUUUGGAGCAUAUUUCAUUAUGCUAUUAAUCACCAGUAUGAUAUGUAUUGCGUGUCGUAAUUGAAAUGCUAAGCCUACGGGAUUGAACUUUUGGUCAUUUCUAUACUUUUGUUGUUUACUGAAUUUAUAAAUGUUUUUCGAGUGUUUUGCACUACAUUUCACAUUAUGUAUAUCUACAUUUUCAGAAGUGAAUAUAAUAGUAGUAGUGGACAUUAUUUAUCUAGAUCACUCAUGAUAAAGUGCUCAAAUAGUCAUAGCUGCGUAAAUCAUAUUUAUAUAUUGAUGAACUUCAUCAGUAUCCAACAUGAAUCCUUGCAAAAAAUAAUGUAACAUUUAUUAGUAUAAGAACACUAUUAGAUAUAAUUAAAGUCGCGAAUCGGCAAUUUUGUGAAUAAAUCAUGACUUAUAGAUUAACGAACGAUACAGCAAUCAGUAUUACAUAUAUAACAUGACUUUGUAAUGACAACAUAUUUGUUUACUUAAUAUAGCCUGUGGGUAAAUGCAUAUGUCCUUGUAAUGUUCAAGCUACGCUAAUCUGUUAACACAGUGUGGGGUGGAGAAGCGUUUAAUAGAGCAUAGCUAACAGCAAACUUUUUGCGAUUAUAUAAUAAUACACAUUUCGGUCGUAAGUGGACAGCAUUCCGUAUAAUUGCAUUACGUAUGUUACAUUUGUAAGCAGAUAUCAUUCAUUUUAUGUCUACGUAACUUAAUUAAUAUUGCGUUUUGAUAAAUGUUAUUUAUUAUUGUAAACCCUUAACAUGUUAUGUUGUUCCUGACACUGGUUAUCUGUGUGCAUAUUUUCAUUCCGCUUAAAAUGUAUAGUUAUAUUGCAUUGUAUUUUUAAUGUGUAGUAUUGCUGUUUUGAUUAUGUGUCAUGUUUUUUAUAUAUGUCGUGUUUAGAAUAUGAGUUAAUAAAAUAUAUGUAUGAUUUAAA